rnacentral:rRNA from 1 species
GGUGAACGCUGGCGGCGUGCCUAACACAUGCAAGUCGAUCGGAGCAGCAAUGCUUAGAGGCGAACGGGUGAGGAAAACGUAGUAACCAACCCUUUAGACUGGGAUAGCCACUGGAAACGGUGGGUAAUACCGGAUAAGCUCGAGAGAGGAAAGGCAGAGAAGCGCUAAAGGACGGAACUGCGCCCCAUCAGAUAGUUGGUGAGGUAAAGGCUUACCAAGUCAAAGACGGGAAACCGACGUGAGAGCGUGUACGGUCACAAGGGCACUGAGACACGGACCAGACUCCUACGGGAGGCAGCAGUGAGGAAUAUUGCGCAAUGGGGGCAACCCUGACGCAGCAACGCCGCGUGAGUGAGGAAGGUUUUCGGACCGUAAAGCUCUGUCGAGCGGGAAGAAGUGCAUGGUGGCUAAUAUCCAUCAUGCUUGACGGUACCGCUAAAGGAGCACCGGCUAACUCCGUG